rnacentral:rRNA from 1 species
UACGUAGGGUGCAAGCGUUGUCCGGAAUUAUUGGGCGUAAAGAGCUCGUAGGCGGCUAGUCGCGUCGGCUGUGAAAACCCAGGGCUCAACCCUGGGCCUGCAUUCGAUACGGGCAAACUAGAGUAUGGCAGGGGAGACUGGAAUUCCUGGUGUAGCGGUGAAAUGCGCAGAUAUCAGGAGGAACACCGGUGGCGAAGGCGGGUCUCUGGGCCAAAACUGACGCUGAGGAGCGAAAGCGCGGGGAGCGAACAGG